AUGGCGGCGGGAAAAAAAAAUUGAGAGUUGCUGUAGAAGAGUUAGUCGCCAAAUUUUCGCCAAAAAAUCGCCAAGUUACCAUAAUCUAAAGAUCAACCGUCAUCUCUUCAGAUCCCUGAAUGGUCUGGAGUUCCAUGUAUGAGCUAAUCAUUAGGGAGCAUGUGAACCCAUUCUGUUGCAUAUAUGAUUUAACAGUUUAUUUCAAUAAUAAGAAUAAUAAUUCAAAUCGUGCUAUCAUGUUUGGCAAAAUUACUUUUAGGUAUGUUUAAAAAGUUAGGUGAUUUCAUUACUUGAAAAGCACUAAGCUCUGUUAACAAGCCAUCAUUUUGUGUCAAAUGUAAAUAUUGGCAUCAAAUCUGACUGUAGAUCAAUAGCAAUAUAGAAAUAUGCAAUUAUUCCGUUUCCAUAUUGAUAUUUUCUUUGGGUGGCGGGGGAAAUCAGCAUUUAAACAAUGAAGCAGCUGAAAAUGUGAGAAGAAAAAUUAUCAGAUCAAUUUUCAAUCUUCGGACUUAUUUAUAUUGAUAUCAUUAUUUAAUUACUCAUUAGAUGAAGAAAACAAAUUGCCUAAUUUGUACCUUUAAUGUGAUUUGGCCUUUUUAAUGCAUUUCUAAAGUGAUAGCAUUACUGGGAGGGUAACCAUCUUUAUAUAUAUGUAUAUUAUAUAUUAUGUUCAAAGAUCAAAUUGAAGUUUAGAAAAUAGGAUUUGUGUAGUAUCACAUAUAUUAUUUUUUUAUUAUUAUAUUUAUUUAGGGUGCAAUAUAUUUAAUGACCUAGCUUUAUGUGAAAAUAAGCGGUAGUAAAAUGUUUUAUACUAUAGGUUAAUAUAUAUGAAUUAAAAAUAUGAUAGAUAGUAACUUUUUUUUUUUUUAAUUUAAAAUUUACCUUGUUUUCAGAAUGGUUUUUUGACUUUGGUUUUGUGAUACCUAACUCAACGAAUACUUGGCAGUCACUGAUUGAAGCUGCUCCAGAAUCGCAGAUGAUGCCGGCUAAUGUAUUAAAUGGAAAUGUGAUUAUUGAAACUAAAUUUUAUGACCAGGAUCUUCUAGUCAGCACAUCUAGGGUUCGGUUGUUUUACGUGUGAUUGAAUUAUCUCAAAAUGUACAGCCAUUUCUAUUAGUAUAAUGCACCAGUUGCAGUGUUGUUUUACAUUUCACACAAGGCCAGUUUGUGAGGAAUACUUGAAAUGAUAAGAUUGAAUGUUUUCACUCUACUGUAUAAUUGCAAAUUUUAUCUAAUGACAACUUUAUACAUGUGUAAGUGUGAAGUAGUUUCAAGGUAAAAGUAUUUUUGAUGUGAUGCCAUGCUGAACACGUCUACCAUAUUUGUAUACCACCAAAACAUGUUUUCACAUGAAGAAUGUUCAGGAUUUUAAAUGUAAAACUAAAUAUGUGCACUAGCUGUUGCUAUGCAGCAAAGAUGUGAAUAGCUUUAAAAAAAAAAAAAAUGAGUAAGUUAUUUCUUUUCUUAACUAUUUGAUAUUAAGGUAAAACUAAUUUUUAAAAUGUUUGGGGGAAGAAGUAAUUUCUAAAGAAAAUGUUUGUACUAAUUUACAUAUGUAGAAUGUGCAAUUUGAAAGUAAAAUUCAACAUUAAAUGCCUUGCAUGUGCAGGAGCAGUGCUUGUAAAAUGAAUUAGCUGUACAGCACAUGAAUUCUUAAACUUUAAUCACAUAUUUGUUUGUAAUGGCAAAGCACUGAAGGGCAGUGAACUGCACUUAAUUUAUAAAAAACUAAUACCUAUAUGUUGUUCUAAAAUAUAAUUAAUAAAUCAAAUAACCUGAUUCAAGUAAUAUACUUAGGAAUUAAGACCUAUCAUUUUUUGGAAAACUAGUAUAGAACUAACUGAAAGCUGGAAAACAUAGAGAAAUUAAGAAAACAUUUUUGGAUUUAAAAAAAUUAUUUGUUCAAAAAUAUUAAAAUGAUUGUUGUAAUGUUUUAAUUCAUGGUAAAUUAUAUUAAAUAUUCUUGAUGUUUAAUCUGUAUAUGAUAAGACCAAAAAACUGGUAUUUUACAUUUUAAAAUGUAUUAAAUAAAUUAAUAUACCAUGUUACACUGUUCUUGUGGAGAUUAAAAAAAUAAUAAAAAUGUCUUUUUUAUUUACAUGUAGAUUGCUAUUUAUAAUUUCAUUAUUUGUGCAUGAAUUAUUAUUUUAUCUUCUUUUUGAAGAUUAAAGGAAUUAUUGUAUAAAACUGUCAUAAAUUUUUUAAGGUGUACAGCAGAGACAUUGCAUAUCAAGAACAUGGACAUAUUAAACUGAUCCUAGCUAGCUAUGUUCAUUCUUUUUAGUAUUUUAAUACCUAUUUUACUGCAAUAUUUUAAAAAAUUUAUAACCACAUUUCACUUUGACAUUUCAUGUCUCACUAUGUAUGUGCGGACAUUUCAUGUCUCACUAUGUAUGUGCGGUAUAUUUUAUGCAGUCUAUAGUUAUAUAUAAAAAUAUUUGGUGAUAAAUAACCAAAGAAAAAAAGAAUUAAAGUUGUGCAUGGAGAUAUGAAUUUUUUUUUUUUUUUUUUUUUUUUUUAUUUAGAUUAAAUUUUUCUUAUUGGUGAGCUAAAAUAGUUUCUUGAGAAAUGGUAGGUCAAAAUUCCAUCUGCACAUUCUCAUAUUUUUCAACAAUAUAUUUUUUUUAUAUUUAUGAAUAUUAAAAAAUAAUUAGAACAUGAAGAAUUUAUAAAUAUGUGAAAUGAUAAUUAUAGCAUUGUAAGUUAGGCUAAGAUAAAUUUACCACAAUUUUCAAAUAAAUAUUAUAAUUUUUUUUGGCAUUUGAAUGCUAUCAAAUGUGAAUAUCUGGAUGGUGUUUAUAUAUGUAUAUGUUAUGCUUUUUGUGCACCUAGUCUGCUAAUAUAUGGCAUUUUAUCAAUCCAGGGAAACUGUAAAAGAUGUGACAGUAUUUGCAUAUUUUUCUGUAAAUAAAAUGUUUGUGUGAUA
rnacentral:lncRNA from 1 species